GACGAACGCUGGCGGCGUGCUUAACACAUGCAAGUCGAACGGAAAGGCCUGCUUUCCCUUGUGGUUUGCGGGUACUCGAGUGGCGAACGGGUGAGUAACACGUGAGUGAUCUGCCCCCAACUUGGGUAUAAGCCUGGGAAACUGGGUCUAAUUCCCGAUAGGACUGCAGGGUGGUGCCUGUGGUGGAAAACGAUUUUCUAGUGGUUGGGGAUGAGCUCGCGGCCUAUCAGCUUGUUGGUGGGGUAAUGGCCUACCAAGGCGGCGACGGGUAGCCGGCCUGGGAGGGUGGAAGGCCAAAUUGGGAAGGGGCUACGGCCCAGACGCCUACGGGAGGCAGCAGUGGGGAAUAUUGCACAAUGGGCGGAAGCCGGAUGCAGCGACGCCGCGUGGGGGAUGACGGCCUUCGGGUUGUAAACUCCUUUCGACCGCGAGGAAGCCACCUGGUGGGAAGGGUGGUGACGGUAGUGGUAGAAGAAGCACCGGCUAACUACGU
rnacentral:rRNA from 1 species